rnacentral:pre_miRNA from 1 species
ACCCAAAUAACGGGGCUCUCUGAACUCCAAACCUGAAAGGAGGUGAUGGUAGGCUACGGCUGCUGGUUCAUGCGAAUGCCCCCGGAUGCGCCUCAAUUUCAGCAAUGGCGCAGUCUGAGGGUUUGCAUGAGCUUGGAGACGUUGCUACCUUGAUCUUUUUGGCAUUGGAGUGAAGGGAGCUCCGUUUUUGCUUUUC